rnacentral:rRNA from 1 species
UGGGGAAUUUUGGACAAUGGGCGAAAGCCUGAUCCAGCAAUGCCGCGUGUGUGAAGAAGGCCUUCGGGUUGUAAAGCACUUUUGUCCGGAAAGAAAUCCUUGGCUCUAAUACAGUCGGGGGAUGACGGUACCGGAAGAAUAAGCACCGGCUAACUACGUGCCAGCAGCCGCGGUAAUACGUAGGGUGCAAGCGUUAAUCGGAAUUACUGGGCGUAAAGCGUGCGCAGGCGGUUUGCUAAGACCGAUGUGAAAUCCCCGGGCUCAACCUGGGAACUGCAUUGGUGACUGGCAGGCUAGAGUAUGGCAGAGGGGGGUAGAAUUCCACGUGUAGCAGUGAAAUGCGUAGAGAUGUGGAGGAAUACCGAUGGCGAAGGCAGCCCCCUGGGCCAAUACUGACGCUCAUGCACGAAAGCGUGGGGAGCAAACAGGAUUAGAUACCCUGGUAGUCCACGCCCUAAACGAUGUCAACUAGUUGUUGGGGAUUCAUUUCCUUAGUAACGUGGCUAACGCGUGAAGUUGACCGCCUGGGGAGUACGGUCGCAAGAUUAAAACUCAAGGAAUUGACGGGGUCAUAGCUG